rfam:Thelazia callipaeda genome assembly, scaffold: TCLT_scaffold0000222
CUUGGUUAUGGUGAUAUGGUACCUGCUACAAUCAUGGGUAAAAUUGUUGGUGGUGUUUGUUCUCUUAGUGGUGUUUUGGUAAUCGCUCUUCCGGUUCCAGUAAAUUUUUUAU